CCUAAAAAGUGUAUGCUCUUUUCAGAAUUUGUUCUACGUUGUUCAUUUUCUAAAUGAAAAUUCGAUUGCUGUGGCACCUGCCUCGUGGGUGGAGGAAAAAGAUGGGAUUUGCUACUGGCCGAGAAAAAAUUCUACAGCCAUGGUCAAAACCAGCCAGAUGCCUGAUAAGGCCUACUGGAACAAGUAUAAAAUAAAAAUAAUUUACAAAACCGAUAACUACAUGAAAGCAAGGACACGGGCAAGGCAAGCCAUAGAAACAUCGAAUGUUGAGAGUGAGGAAGAGAC